AUGGGGAACAAAUUCGGAUUCUAUGUUGUAAAAGUUUCACACGGUACUAGAUCACAACCUUCCAUUUUAAAUUGGACGGUUCUGAUCUUACACACAGUUAUACAUCAAAACAAUCUCAGCCAUCUAUUCUAGAUCGUACGGCCAAAAUCCUUUACUGCGUGAAAAUAGUGUGUAACUUUACAACAUCAAAUCUGAUUCCGAAGGAACUAUAACCUGAGAACAACUAAGCAUUGGGAACCACCAACUUUUAAUUAUAUAGGGUCAAUUUAUAAAUACUGCAAAUUAUUUGCUAUAAUUGAAAACUAAUCACAUUUUUUUUUUUGACAAAAAACUAAUCACAUUUUAAUAAUAUUAUAAGUGAUAUUUUUCUCAACCAAUAUAUUUAAGACACAUUAUCAUAUAAUGAAUAACCGGCCUAAUUUUAUGAGAUAGAUAACUGAGUUGCUAUGCGUGUAUAGUAUAUAGUAAUUAGUGUGACUAAUUCAAUACAAGCCUCACUUGAAUGAGAGAGUUUAAG
rnacentral:lncRNA from 1 species